rnacentral:rRNA from 1 species
UGGGGAAUAUUGCACAAUGGGCGCAAGCCUGAUGCAGCCAUGCCGCGUGUAUGAAGAAGGCCUUCGGGUUGUAAAGUACUUUCAGCGAGGAGGAAGGCGUUGUGGUUAAUAACCGCAACGAUUGACGUUACUCGCAGAAGAAGCACCGGCUAACUCCGUGCCAGCAGCCGCGGUAAUACGGAGGGUGCAAGCGUUAAUCGGAAUUACUGGGCGUAAAGCGCACGCAGGCGGUCUGUCAAGUCGGAUGUGAAAUCCCCGGGCUCAACCUGGGAACUGCAUCCGAAACUGGCAGGCUAGAGUCUUGUAGAGGGGGUUAGAAUUCCAGGUGUAGCGGUGAAAUGCGUAGAGAUCUGGAGGAAUACCGGUGGCGAAGGCGGCCCCCUGGACAAAGACUGACGCUCAGGUGCGAAAGCGUGGGGAGCAAACA